rnacentral:rRNA from 1 species
AUUGAACGCUGGCGGCAGGCUUAACACAUGCAAGUCGAGCGGGGGAAGGUAGCUUGCUACCGGACCUAGCGGCGGACGGGUGAGUAAUGCUUAGGAAUCUGCCUAUUAGUGGGGGACAACAUCUCGAAAGGGAUGCUAAUACCGCAUACGUCCUACGGGAGAAAGCAGGGGAUCUUCGGACCUUGCGCUAAUAGAUGAGCCUAAGUCGGAUUAGCUAGGUGGUGGGGUAAAGGCCUACCAAGGCGACGAGCUGUAGCGGUUCUGAGAGGAUGAUCCGGCACACUGGGACUGAGACACGGCCCAGACUCCUACGGGAGGCAGCAGUGGGGAAUAUUGGACAAUGGGGGGAACCCUGAUCCAGCCAUGCCGCGUGUGUGAAGAAGGCCUUAUGGUUGUAAAGCACUUUAAGCGAGGAGGAGGCUACUUUAGUUAAUACCUAGAGAUAGUGGACGUUACUCGCAGAAUAAGCACCGGCUAACUCUGUGCCAGCCGCCGCCGUAA